CCGCGUCUGUCUUCACCUCCGUGAAGCCGUCGAUGCAUACAUCUUGUGAAGCCCGGUCGCCGCGUCAGAUCGUCGAUCGAUUUUGAGGCAGCCGCCACGUCUCCUUUGGCCGACCGCUGACCGACCCACACUUAGGAUUUUUGCUGCGAGUUCGACAGUCGUGCGUUGAGGUGUUGGGAGUAACGUUGGGCUCCCUUAAAUUCACAACCAAUAUAUGAAUUGUUGAGGGUUCAGUUCGCCAAUACUUCGGAUUGUUUCGAGGACGUUAGUUGAUUAAGGAGCUUCCCUAACUUUGAGGUAAGGGAUUUUCUACUGGACUCACUUAUGAUUGUGAAUUGUAUGUCUGUAUGAUUGUCUCUGACUGAGUAAAGAUGUUGAGAUGAUAUAUAUAUAUACACGUAUGGAUGUAGAUUCGGUGUUGAAUGUAUACUGUGGAUUGACUGAAAA